GAUGAACGCUGGCGGCGUGCCUAAUACAUGCAAGUCGAGCGAACGGACGAGAAGCUUGCUUCUCUGAUGUUAGCGGCGGACGGGUGAGUAACACGUGGAUAACCUACCUAUAAGACUGGGAUAACUUCGGGAAACCGUAGCUAAUACCGGAUAAUAUUUUGAACCGCAUGGUUCAAAAGUGAAAGACGGUCUUGCUGUCACUUAUAGAUGGAUCCGCGCUGCAUUAGCUAGUUGGUAAGGUAACGGCUUACCAAGGCAACGAUGCAUAGCCGACCUGAGAGGGGGAUCGGCCACACGGGAAAGGAGAAACGUGCCAGAAGCGGACGGGAGGCAGAAGUAGGGAAGCGUCAGGAAUGGGCGAAAGUCGGACGGAGCAAAGCCGCGUGAGGUAUGAAGGUAUUAGGAGCGGAAAACUCUGUGAUUAGGGAAGAACAAAGGGGGAAGUAACGAGGCACGUCGUGACGGUACCGAAUCAGAAAGCCACGGCGAAAUACGUG
rnacentral:rRNA from 1 species